UACCAGCACCCCGAGUGGUCGGGACGAUUAUUGGGCCUAAAGCAUCCGUAGCCGGUUUUACAAGUCCUCCGUUAAAUCCAGCUGCUUACAGAUGGGCUGCGGAGGAUACUAUAAGACUAGGAGGCAGGAGAGGCAAGCGGUACUCAGUGGGUAGGGGUAAAAUCCGUUGAUCCAUUGAAGACCACCAGUGGCGAAGGCGGCUUGCCAGAAUGCGCUCGACGGUGAGGGAUGAAAGCUGGGGGAGCAAACCGG
rnacentral:rRNA from 1 species